CCUUUCCUCCAGUCGUCCCUGUAGACUCAGUAGAAGUGUCUGGCCCUCACCUCACUACAGCCUCCUCUGUUUCUGUGAUCAGCCUGGAGGACAAGGAGGGGAAAAAAGACGCAGGAACGUAGGUGGAUCCAAACAUGCGAGUUCCAGCUUUGCUGCCUGUUCCUGAUGCUCUGCCACACAGGAAGAGGAUGGAGGCCCUUGGAUGACCCUGAAGGAUUGCAGUUAAAAGGUGCAAGUAAUGAUCCUGCUCCUGACACAGAUCUUUUGCCACACAGGAAGGCUGUGAGGAAGGUAUGAAACAGAUUGGGAGCACAGCUAUUUAUACAGCUCAUGGAAAGCUGCAUAUGUAGAUUCGAAAUCUGUGUGUCACCUUCUGGGGAAUUUUGCCAUAUCUUUAAUUUUUCUGUGUAUCAUAAGCUGCCUUUCUGAAGAAUGGAUCCAGAGUUCACUGAAAUCAAUUUGAAUAAGCCCAGCUGAUUUGGACAACUCUAGGUUGGACCAUAAAGCAGGGGGUG